rnacentral:rRNA from 1 species
AGAGCCUGAAUCAGUGUGUGUGUUAGUGGAAGCGUCUGGAAAGGCGUGCGAUACAGGGUGACAGCCCCGUACACAAAAAUGCACAUAUUGUGAGCUUGAUGAGUAGGGCGGGACACGUGGUAUCCUGUCUGAAUAUGGGGGGACCAUCCUCCAAGGCUAAAUACUCCUGACUGACCGAUAGUGAACCAGUACCGUGAGGGAAAGGCGAAAAGAACCCCGGCGAGGGGAGUGAAAAAGAACCUGAAACCGUGUACGUACAAGCAGUGGGAGCACGCUUAGGCGUGUGACUGCGUACCUUUUGUAUAAUGGGUCAGCGACUUAUAUUCUGUAGCAAGGUUAACCGAAUAGGGGAGCCGAAGGGAAACCGAGUCUUAACUGGGCGUUAAGUUGCAGGGUAUAGACCCGAAACCCGGUGAUCUAGCCAUGGGCAGGUUGAAGGUUGGGUAACACUAACUGGAGGACCGAACCGACUAAUGUUGAAAAAUUAGCGGAUGACUUGUGGCUGGGGGUGAAAGGCCAAUCAAACCGGGAGAUAGCUGGUUCUCCCCGAAAGCUAUUUAGGUAGCGCCUCGUGAAUUCAUCUCCGGGGGUAGAGCACUGUUUCGGCAAGGGGGUCAUCCCGACUUACCAACCCGAUGCAAACUGCGAAUACCGGAGAAUGUUAUCACGGGAGACACACGGCGGGUGCUAACGUCCGUCGUGAAGAGGGAAACAACCCAGACCGCCAGCUAAGGUCCCAAAGUCAUGGUUAAGUGGGAAACGAUGUGGGAAGGCCCAGACAGCCAGGAUGUUGGCUUAGAAGCAGCCAUCAUUUAAAGAAAGCGUAAUAGCUCACUGGUCGAGUCGGCCUGCGCGGAAGAUGUAACGGGGCUAAACCAUGCACCGAAGCUGCGGCAGCGACGCUUAUGCGUUGUUGGGUAGGGGAGCGUUCUGUAAGCCUGCGAAGGUGUGCUGUGAGGCAUGCUGGAGGUAUCAGAAGUGCGAAUGCUGACAUAAGUAACGAUAAAGCGGGUGAAAAGCCCGCUCGCCGGAAGACCAAGGGUUCCUGUCCAACGUUAAUCGGGGCAGGGUGAGUCGACCCCUAAGGCGAGGCCGAAAGGCGUAGUCGAUGGGAAACAGGUUAAUAUUCCUGUACUUGGUGUUACUGCGAAGGGGGGACGGAGAAGGCUAUGUUGGCCGGGCGACGGUUGUCCCGGUUUAAGCGUGUAGGCUGGUUUUCCAGGCAAAUCCGGAAAAUCAAGGCUGAGGCGUGAUGACGAGGCACUACGGUGCUGAAGCAACAAAUGCCCUGCUUCCAGGAAAAGCCUCUAAGCAUCAGGUAACAUCAAAUCGUACCCCAAACCGACACAGGUGGUCAGGUAGAGAAUACCAAGGCGCUUGAGAGAACUCGGGUGAAGGAACUAGGCAAAAUGGUGCCGUAACUUCGGGAGAAGGCACGCUGAUAUGUAGGUGAAGUCCCUUGCGGAUGGAGCUGAAAUCAGUCGAAGAUACCAGCUGGCUGCAACUGUUUAUUAAAAACACAGCACUGUGCAAACACGAAAGUGGACGUAUACGGUGUGACGCCUGCCCGGUGCCGGAAGGUUAAUUGAUGGGGUCAGCGCAAGCGAAGCUCUUGAUCGAAGCCCCGGUAAACGGCGGCCGUAACUAUAACGGUCCUAAGGUAGCGAAAUUCCUUGUCGGGUAAGUUCCGACCUGCACGAAUGGCGUAAUGAUGGCCAGGCUGUCUCCACCCGAGACUCAGUGAAAUUGAACUCGCUGUGAAGAUGCAGUGUACCCGCGGCAAGACGGAAAGACCCCGUGAACCUUUACUAUAGCUUGACACUGAACAUUGAGCCUUGAUGUGUAGGAUAGGUGGGAGGCUUUGAAGUGUGGACGCCAGUCUGCAUGGAGCCGGCCUUGAAAUACCACCCUUUAAUGUUUGAUGUUCUAACGUGGACCCGUGAUCCGGGUUGCGGACAGUGUCUGGUGGGUAGUUUGACUGGGGCGGUCUCCUCCUAAAGAGUAACGGAGGAGCACGAAGGUUGGCUAAUCCUGGUCGGACAUCAGGAGGUUAGUGCAAUGGCAUAAGCCAGCUUGACUGCGAGCGUGACGGCGCGAGCAGGUGCGAAAGCAGGUCAUAGUGAUCCGGUGGUUCUGAAUGGAAGGGCCAUCGCUCAACGGAUAAAAGGUACUCCGGGGAUAACAGGCUGAUACCGCCCAAGAGUUCAUAUCGACGGCGGUGUUUGGCACCUCGAUGUCGGCUCAUCACAUCCUGGGGCUGAAGUAGGUCCCAAGGGUAUGGCUGUUCGCCAUUUAAAGUGGUACGCGAGCUGGGUUUAGAACGUCGUGAGACAGUUC